UGUUGAAGAAUGAAUUAUAAUUUGCUAUUCGAUUAUAUAUAUAUUGUUUUUUUAUUUUGAGUUUUUGUAAUACGUAAGUUGAAACUUAAAUAGUGCCAACUAUUUAUUCACAAAUGAUACAAAAGAGUUACAUGUUUGCACCUGUUACUAUCAUUCAAAGUAGUCACCAGUGUUGUGUAGAACCCGUUGCCAGCCAUGUGGAAGGCGUAGCAUACCGUCAGCAGAGCCUGUUUUGUUGAUGGUGCGAAUGGAACAGUCUACUGCCAUGUCUCAUCCAGUGAUACGAUACGGCGUAAGAAAGCCUCUCCUUCACGCUCAUAGUGCCCUAAAACUGUUUCAGAGAUUCGACAGGCAGUAGACCACUUCAUUUGCACCAUCAACAGAACAGGUUCUACUAACGGGUUCUACACAACGCUG